UUGACCUCAAAUCAGGUAGGACUACCCGCUGAACUUAAGCAUAUCAAUAAGCGGAGGAAAAGAAACUAACAAGGAUUCCCCUAGUAACUGCGAGUGAAGCGGGAAGAGCUCAAAUUUAAAAUCUGGUGGUCCUCGCGGCCGUCCGAGUUGUAAUCUGGAGAAGCGUUUUCCGCGUCGGACCGUGUACAAGUCUUCUGGAAUGGAGCGUCGUAGAGGGUGAGAAUCCCGUCUCUGACACGGACCGCCGAUGCUUUUGUGAUACGCUCUCGAAGAGUCGAGUUGUUUGGGAAUGCAGCUCAAAACGGGUGGUAAAUUCCAUCUAAAGCUAAAUAUUGGCGAGAGACCGAUAGCGAACAAGUACCGUGAGGGAAAGAUGAAAAGCACUUUGGAAAGAGAGUAAA
rnacentral:rRNA from 1 species